rnacentral:rRNA from 1 species
UUAAUUGAAGAGUUUGAUCAUGGCUCAGAUUGAACGCUGGCGGCAGGCCUAACACAUGCAAGUCGAGCGGCAGCACAGAGGAACUUGUUCCUUGGGUGGCGAGCGGCGGACGGGUGAGUAAUGCCUGGGAAAUUGCCCGGUAGAGGGGGAUAACCAUUGGAAACGAUGGCUAAUACCGCAUAACCUCGCAAGAGCAAAGCAGGGGACCUUCGGGCCUUGCGCUACCGGAUAUGCCCAGGUGGGAUUAGCUAGUUGGUGAGGUAAGGGCUCACCAAGGCGACGAUCCCUAGCUGGUCUGAGAGGAUGAUCAGCCACACUGGAACUGAGACACGGUCCAGACUCCUACGGGAGGCAGCAGUGGGGAAUAUUGCACAAUGGGCGCAAGCCUGAUGCAGCCAUGCCGCGUGUAUGAAGAAGGCCUUCGGGUUGUAAAGUACUUUCAGUAGGGAGGAAGGUGGUUAAGUUAAUACCUUAAUCAUUUGACGUUACCUACAGAAGAAGCACCGGCUAACCCCGUGCACGCAGCUGCGGUCAUACGGAGGGUGGAAGCGUGAAACGAAAUUACUGGGCGUAAAGCGCAUGAAG